UUUUAUAAUUAAUUUAAUUGAAAUUAUAUAUUAAUUAAUAAAUUAAAAUUAAAUUAAUUAUUUUAGUUGGGGUGAUAUAAAAAUAUAUAAAACUUUUUAUUUUAAUUAACAUAUAUAAGUGAAUUUAUGAUCCCAUUAAUAA
rnacentral:rRNA from 1 species